rnacentral:rRNA from 1 species
CCUACGGGAGGCAGCAGUGAGGAAUAUUGGUCAAUGGACGCAAGUCUGAACCAGCCAUGUCGCGUGCAGGAUGACGGCCCUAUGAGUUGUAAACUGCUUUUGUACGAGGGUAAACGCAGAUACGCGUACCUGUCUGCAUGUAUUUUAUGAAUAAGGAUCGGCUAACUCCGUGCCAGCAGCCGCGGUAAUACGGAGGAUUCGAGCGUUAUCCGGAUUUAUUGGGUUUAAAGGGAGCGUAGGCGGGCGGUUAAGUUAGAGGUGAAAGCUUGAGGCUCAACCUCUGAAUUGCCUCUGAUACUGGUCGGCUAGAGAGUAGUUGCGGUAGGCGGAAUGCAUGGUGUAGCGGUGAAAUGCUUAGAUAUCACACAGAACACCGAUUGCGAAGGCAGCUUACCAAGCUACGACUGACGUUGAUGCACGAAAGCGUGGGGAUCAAACAGGAUUAGAUACCCGAGUAGUC